GGUCUCUCCCUGUUGCCUAGGCUGGAGUGCAGUGGCACAAUAACAACUCACCGCAGCCUCGACCUCCUGGACGCAAGUGAUCAUAGUUUUAUUUCUAUGCCUUCUGAAGGACUAGAUACAGAAGACAGUAAUAGCUUGAGCCUGAGAUGGGAAAAAACUUUCUUAAAAUCAAAGAAAAUUCAUGAUGGCCAGAAUUUACACACUGCUUCAAUUCUUUUCAUCUAUAUUUUCAAAAAGAUACUUGGUCAUACUUUGCAAAACUUGUCACAGAAAAGAAAUUAUAGUCUGGAUAAACAAAGAGUAAAUGCCAUCAAAUUCCAAACAGGCAACCAGAGCCUCUGAAGAUGGCCCCUUCUUCUGGGGAUCCUCACAUAGGCCUCGGAGGAAGCUCUGACUGCCGUUUCCCCAAAACAGCGCCCCCGUCUGCAGAAAGUGGUUAAGAUUGGUCUUAGUCCUUAUCCUUAAUCUAACGGGAGUUAGAUAUACUUCUUUAGACGGGGGAAUGAGACAGCCAGGUGGGAGGGGGUCCCUGGAGAAACUCCAACCAGCCUGUCUACUGAGGUGGAGCCUGGGAAGUUUGAGCCCUUUGCAGUAGGGAGGAGCUGGCCUUGCCUCUUCCUGUGUGGAACCUGGGAUUCGGACGUCGGGCGGGAAGUGCUCUAGCAGGGGACUCUGGACUUGCGGAGGACCCCUGUUCCCCCCCUCAUUUUUCCCUGUUUCACCCAAUAAAACCCUGCUUUACUCACCCUUUAAACCAUCUGCGAACCUAAAUUUUUGUUGUCGCGGGAUGGACAAGAACGCUGUCUUUAGCUAAACUAAGGAAAAGACCUGUAACACCUUA
rnacentral:lncRNA from 10 species